rnacentral:rRNA from 1 species
GACGAACGCUGGCGGCGUGCUUAACACAUGCAAGUCGAACGAAAAGAGGGAAAGAGCUUGCUCUUUCCGGAAUUGAGUGGCAAACGGGUGAGUAACACGUAAACAACCUGCCUUCAGGAUGGGGACAACAGACGGAAACGACUGCUAAUACCGAAUAAGUUCCAAGAGCCGCAUGGCCCAUGGAAGAAAAGGUGGCCUCUACCUGUAAGCUAUCGCCUGAAGAGGGGUUUGCGUCUGAUUAGCUGGUUGGAGGGGUAACGGCCCACCAAGGCGACGAUCAGUAGCCGGUCUGAGAGGAUGAACGGCCACACUGGAACUGAGACACGGUCCAGACUCCUACGGGAGGCAGCAGUGGGGAAUCUUCCGCAAUGGGCGAAAGCCUGACGGAGCAACGCCGCGUGAGUGAUGACGGCCUUCGGGUUGUAAAACUCUGUGAUCCGGGACGAAAAGGCAGAGUGCGAAGAACAAACUGCAUUGACGGUACCGGAAAAGCAAGCCACGGU